rnacentral:rRNA from 1 species
AUUGAACGCUAGCGGGAGGCCUAACACAUGCAAGUCGAACGCGUGGCGGACGGGAGAGUAAUGAACGGGAAACUGCCCGAUGGAGGGGUAUAACUACGGGAAACGGAUGCCAACAACGCAAUACGCCGGAGGUGGCCAGAUGGGAUUAGCUAGUAGGUGUGGUAACGGCUCACCUAGACGACGAUCCCGCGCUGGUCUGAGAGGAUGACCAGCCAAACGGGAACUGAGACACGGACCAGACUCCUACGGGAGGCAGCAGUGGGGAAUUUUGCACAAUGGGCGCAAGCCUGAUGCAGCCAUUCCGCGUGUAUGAAGAAGGCCUUCGGGUUGUAAAGUACUUUCGGCGAGGAGGCGUUACUCGCAGAAGAAGCACCGGCUAACUCCGUGCCAGCAGCCGCGGUAAUUC